AUUACCUGUGUGUUUUAAAGACAAUACCACACCUUUCACAGUGGAAUUCAGUCCAAUUCUACCCAAUUUGGCACUAAUAACCCUAUGAGAAAAGCUGGAGAAAAAAAUAAAAAAUUCUUGCAACAUGUCCUUUAAACUCUAUGAUCACUGUUAGUAAGCAAAUUCUAGAAAUGAAGAUCAGUACAUGAAGCACAUCCUGCCAUGUGCAACUUCCAUAGUAGCCUAUAGUCACUUGCGAGUGUCUUUGACAAUCCUGAAGGCUGUCAGGUGAGGAAGCCGAUGGAUGCUCACAUACAAGCACUGAGGGCACAGCACGGUGUGGAAGCCAUGGGUCUGAUAAAGCAGUAUCCCAGGCCAGAUUCCACCCUUGUUCUCACCUGCAGGGGCAAGGCCCUGAGCAAAGGCUGUCAUUUAUCAGGAUGCACGUGGUGCUUCGGAGCCCUGAGAAGUGCCCUGAGAGCUGACAUGUGAAGGGGCAGCAGAGGAAGGUGCACACUUUAUUUUGUGUCUAUCUCCUCGGGUCACAGAGAGCAGGAAGUAUCCAGCUCCGAAAGCAGCAGUUUAGCGAGCUGCACCUUGUCAUAGAAUGACGUGUGUGUGUGUGUGUCCGGGUGGUUUUGCACUGUGAGAGGCUUGGAACUGGAAACAGCGGCUGGAGGACGUGGUUGGAGCUGAUGGCGCGGCCUGAGCCCGCUCUGAGAGUGCAGCAGGCCGCCGCCCGGCAGAGCAGCCCGCCCAGCGCCGCACCGCGCCGGGGACAGGAAGCACUUACCUAGGGAACUUCUCCUUCAGCUUCCUCAGGCUCUGCCGGGUGGGCUGCACGUGCCCCAGGAACUGGGCUAUUUCAUCGUACUGGGCUUUGUUCAACAUGAUGAAAUAUCUGGUGGUUGGAACUCCUUUUUCAAGUUCUCAAUAGUUGGAUGCAGAAACCUGUGUGAAAAUAUCUGCUUUCAAAUUCAGGGAGACUUUUUUGAGAAUAAGGGAAUGAGGAAGAAGAAGCAAGUAUAUCUGGAUUUCUGUGUACAUUCACUGUACAUGACUGCAAUGUGGAUAAGUUUAGAAUUCAGAUAGAUUCAGCAAGUGAACACUGGAAUCUAGUCUGAACUUCAGAAGAGCACUGUUCUGCUCCAGAGUGAGUACUGCCUAUUCUCUCAUAGAAUAGGAGUGUCCAUACAUUGACAGUAGUUCAUAAUAAAGUAGAUCUUUCCUGCUCAUUUUCUGUUCUUACAAUCCAGACCUUUAUUUGCACUGCUUAAUAUCCCAAUAACAUACAAUAUCUAUUAAUUGUAUUGCCAGGUAAACUAUACAGAUUAAUGUGUUCUUACGCAAUAAUCUCAGAAACUUCUGCAUUUUAAGAACUUACGAAAGUACUGAAAAUAAUUUGGUUCACACAUGAUUUUAUUCUUAUUAAAACGGAGAUUACUGUAUAUUUUAUAAUACAUAGAUACAAAUGUAAUGGACCUAAGAAUAGACUCGUGCAAGUAUCUCCCAGUUUUCACCUUGCUAUUUACUGCAUAAUUUUAAAAUCCUCACAUGUGAAAUGAUUUUUAUUUAGAAACACAUAUUUGUGAUUUCUUUUUGACAAAGAAAGGCCUUUUGUUCUGCUUUCCUCAACAGAACCUCAUUUUGUGACUUUCUACUGUCCCCUAGUGGCAUUUUAAUCUUUGUAACUAUUGUGAUACUGCUAUUCUGCAUUGCUUCUGUGCUUUUCUGUUUUUUUUGAGACUAUCAUUAACAAACAUUUAAAAUACUAUUAAACAACCCAUCAACUGACUGUGGAAGCAAUAACAUUGCACUUUAGUCCAAGCGGUCCUUUCAGAUAUUUUAAAAUGAUAUAAACAAAGUCAGCAACCAUAUGCUAUCUAUAUAAUGCAUUACUUCAUUAUAGUAAACAUUUCAGAUUUGCAGAAUGUUAACACAAACCUGAUGAAAGAAAAAUGUUAUUAGUUGUGACGAGCCUAUACAUACCCUACAGUAGCUAAAAUGUAAUUUGUGACAGGUUAGAGAAUUGUCAGUAGUCUUGGAGCAUGCACUCCAGCUAUUCCUUUUAUUUUCCUCCCUUUAAGCUCACGCUGCAUUACCAUUAGAUUGUUUGCAAAUUUUCUAUACCCCACAGUGUCACUUUUACAUCAAAUAUUAAUAUAUUGCAGAGAAGUACCAGAUUAGUAGCUUUCUCAACUGAUAGCUAUUGAAAAUGGACUUCUUAAGUUUUUCAUGUGUUAUAUGUGCACACAUUUCAUAGCUUUUGCUUUUGUAAAUACAUAGUUGCAUUUUCUUUCUCGAGUGUAUUUUCUUCACAUUCAUUAAGACUCGCACACAUUUUCUCAAUUACAUGUAGUUUUUUAUUAGGAUAUGCUGGAUUUUUGUUUCAUUUUUAUUUUCAUUUUCAUACCCAACCAAAAGUAGUCUCUGCUGUCAUGUGCUUCAGUGAUUAGUUCUCCCAUGCUGAUCAUAUAUUUUAUUUUACAAUAGAUACUAGAAUAUUUCUUUAUCAGAAUUUUUAUGUAUAUAUAAAGAUAUGAUAUUGCAGACUAUAACUUGUAAUUUUAUAUGAUGAGUCACAUUUAAUAAAGGAAUUUAGUUCUUCUUCAGAUUUGGAAAAUCUGAAUAAGAUAAUUCAGAAUUUAUUUAGUGUAAUCAAAUAAAUUUUGAAUGAUGGUGCAAAAUCCCAGUACACGUAUAUAUAAAUAUUUCCAGAAAUCAUUCAUUCACAUAAAUUCAGAUUUAAAAGAAUUCCUUUAGACUACUUUUUUUCCCCCAUAAUAUUAACAAAAUAGAAGUCAUUAGAAGAAAUGCACGUUUAGUGUCCACCACACUAUUUUUAGUAUAUAGCUGUUAAAAAUGACGACUACAGGUACAAGGUAUAGUGAAAUUUGGCUCAUUAACUCAAAAAUUUUUUAAUCAAGAAGAGAUAUAGUGCAUUAAUGACUUCUUGUCACUGUCACUGUGCUAUUAUCCUUAUAAUAACCAUCACACUAAUACGAAUGUUUUAUGCUUUUUAUCUGGAAUGGGUCUAAAGGUAGAAGCCCUUCAGCCAUCGUAUUUUCUUGGAGUGGUACAUUGUAUGCCCUGGUUCAUUAUAUGCCUUGGUUGAGAAAUGAGAGAGAACAUGAUGGGACAUUGUAUACAAUUUAUAUUGUUAAAAAGAUAAUUCAAAUUGCCAGCUUUUGAGCCUUUUCUGUCUCCGAUACUCAUAUUGUGACUGUAUAGAUCUGAUUUAUCCAUCCUUAGGACUGAUAAAGAUAUCUCAAAACAAAGACCCAGAAUGCUGUCACUUCGGGCAUAUACAUACAAAAAUGCAACCAAUGUUAACAUUCUCUUCAUACCAUUUUUCAGAUGUGGAAAGGAGUAAUUUUAAGGUCUAAAGAUUAUUUAGUUUUAUGAGAAAGCUAAAAAUGUGUUCCUCUUUAUUUAUACAUUUUCAUAUAAUGUGUUGCAGCUUUCAAAAUUGCUUCUUUGGUGACAUUCUUUUCAAACAGUAAUAUCUCAAACUGAAAUGUAGAACUUUUGCAGCUUUCUUUCUCACAAAUUUCUGCAUUCUUUAAAUAUAAUCCUUUGUAAGCAGAUUUGUAUUAUGAUAUAGCUGCUGUGUUAUUGGAAACACUCAAAUUACUUUGACAGGCUAAAACGGAGUGGAAUUUUUUCAUUGAAAUGUUGUGUAGCUUUGUUUAGUGAAACAUAGCUUGUUCAUAUACUUAGUAUAAGAGAUAAAAAUUCUCUAAGCUUUUUAUUAAGAGACUGUAUGUUUGUCUAAAGAAUUUCCUCGAAAGAGCUUGCUAUAAGUUUGCCUAAUUAUUACUAAGAUUCUGAGAAGAUUAGAAAAUAUAUGGCUUCUCUGUAAAUCACAAGAAUAAUAUAAUGCUAUCAGUGGCCUACUUUCCUAAAAUUAGUUUUCUCCAAAUCAUAUAAUAAAGCUAAGCAGUCUCACUUUUUACAACACAGGAGACUAUCUAAACAGAAUGAACAGAUUUAUAGGGUUAUUUUUAGUAUGUGUCACUAGGAUUGCAGUUUACAUUUGCUUUUGAAACUAAUUUGACAUUCAUGCUACAAAAUACAGUCAGAAUUCUCAUUAAAGUUUUUCAUAAAGUACAGUCUCAAUAGGGUUAUUUCCUCCCCCCCCCAGUGAGGGAAAAAACCAUGAAUGUGCACAUCAUGUGUUUUGGAUUUGAUGUUAUUUUAUUACUAUUAAAAAAAUUAUAAAUUGAAACACCUGCUGAUGAAUGUAUAAAGAAUGUUUAUGUAAAUAAUUGCUCAACUCACAACUAGCAAAAUAACCAAGCAUUUUGUCACUAUUUCAUAGAGCAACAGGUAAAUGCUGUCAUGUCUAACAUGGUAAUUAUUUUCUUUCAUUACUCUAAAAAGCGAUUGUUUAUUGAGAUAAAAUCAGGCUUAGAUUCUUAAAAGGUAGAACACUGUGCUUUUCUGGAAGCUGUUCUUCUGUGAAUCAUAGUUAUACAACAUUAUGUAAGAUGCUGACAUAUGAUGUUGAAUGGAUUUCCUGAAUAUGCAGUGUUGUGCUUCAUGAUAAACUACAGUUAUACACACAUAUGUUAAAUCUAGCUGGAGAAAAGUGUGUGUAAUUGCAUGCAGUUUUUUUCUUUUUUGUUUUUUCUUUUUUUUUCUUUUUGGUAAAUAUUUAUAUAAACUGAGGAGAUAAAACUGAAUCUAUACUUAAUCAGUUUAUGUUCUGUUAAGUCUAUUGGAAUGUUUUUGUAAUGUGAAAAAUGAAACCUAAACUGACAUUAUUAUUUUUUGCCUUCUGAAACUAUCAUAUUAAUUGGGUUUGUGUAGAAUAAGGAAAUGCCUUAGCCAGCAUAUCAUUCAGCUAUAUAAUUCAAGUAGUUCUUAAAUUUCAAAGUAUGACAACAAACAGAAAUUAUACAUAGAGAACUCUGAUAAGAUUAUGUUUUGGAAUAAGAUUUCUUGAAACGAAUGAGUGAAGCAUUCAGUGAAUUGUGAGAAAAAUAUGUUGCUUUACAGACUAACUUUUUUCUUAUGCAUGCAGGUGCAUGAGAUUCUACAGGCUUUAAAAAAUCAGUUUGCUAUAGCCAUUUUUAAGUAUUAAAAGUCAACGUGCAGCACUUAAACAUGGAAACAAAUCAUUCCAAUAAAUGUAUCUCUUGAUAGAUUGCUUUCUACAAGGCUGGCAUGGAACUGCAAGAAUAAAAUGACAGUCAGGCUAAUAGGAUAAUAUUAAUCAUAUCUAUGGUGAAGAGGAAAUUGAGAUAACUAGUAAGGGUUAAAAGUGGGCUGGUUUCUUUUGAGACAUAUAUUUAGGAGGCUUUUGUUGUAUCUGGCUGAAUAUUAAUUCAGCAAAGUAAAAGUAGCAAAUGGUUACUGUAGGCUGCCAGGAAACUGUAUAUGAAACAAAGAAUUACUGGGUUCAUACAAGCUGAUAACGGAUUACUACACAGACAAAGCCAUUUAAAAUUUGCAGCUCCAACCAGACAAUUUUUUAUGUUUUACAAAGAAGUACAAUUACAUUUUGAAUGACCUUAUGCCACAAUGAUGAUAUAAAGAACCUAUUUGUCUCUGCUCCUGGCUUUAGCUUGUAUAUUCCGUAUACAUUAGUGCAUUUCAGUUGCUGUAGAUGUGAUUGUUUAUCUUUGUCAAUUUUAAGAUAUGAAUUAAACACAAAUGUCUUUCAAAUGUGAUACUGUACUUACUCUGUUCAAACGAUAAAAAUAAUUUAUUACAGUAAUCUGGAUUUAUGACUUGGUUAGUUAGAGUAAAUAUACGGCCUCUAUGGGAUUCCCUUUUGCCCCUUAAAUUUUGCGGUGCUUUAAAAUGUACUCCCCAGUCAGAGGAAAUUUAUCCUGUUUUGCAUAAAAUGCUUUAAAAUCUACACUGUUGAGAAAUUUAACUUAAGAAUAAUGUGAUCAGAUGAAGCAAAUUAUUUCAAAUAUCCAUUUUAGGUUUAAAGUCAUGAGAUUUAAGAUUAUCCAACAGAAGAUGUAAAAACUAAAACACUGAAAAUCUAUGCAAGAUAUUUUUAACUAUAUACACGCAGCUAUUAUAAUAAAAAAAUUAAAGAUAUCUAACAGACUUUAUCUACCAGUGAUGUCUUUUAUUAUUCAGUUUUCAACCAUUUAUUUCUCUUUGUAUUUGUGAUAUUAAAAUAUUUUCCUGAUUGAUAUUAUUGUGUAAUUUUUUUCUUCCUUUCUGUGACAUUCAUGAUAAACCCACACCUAUUCAUCUCUCAGUAUAAUACAAAAGUAGAGAGAUAAAGAAAAAUUAUCUUGUUAAUUAAAGAUAGUCUUGUGUUCUACUGCAAUAGAAAACCCAGACAAUGUUUAACACUUUUUAGAAAUGUCGUCUUAUGGUAUUUUGGCUAAUAAAAUAUAAUAUAUAUAAAAAUGUUAGCUCUAGCAAGAUCACUCAUUACCUUUUACAGAUAUGCUUUUUCAGCAAAAACCUUAAUGAGAGAGAAGUGAUGAUGGGAUUUUCAUUAUUAGAAGAAAAAUAUUCUGCUGUAUUUUCUGAUAAUUACUAUUUUUUCUUGAGGUUUUGUGCAUUCUGUAAUGAAUUAAAUUUAUGAAAUGAUAAAAAGAGUAUACAAGUGUAUAAUCAAAAUUUACCUUACUUUCUUGGAUGAUGUGGUUGUGAACAGUGCUUUUAAAUUGGGG